rnacentral:lncRNA from 1 species
UGAAUCCUGAGUGUGGAUUGGUAGAGGGAAGUUGGUUCUUCCUGUCAUUUUUCCUGGCUUUCUUCUUAAGACCCUUGGUUUCAGAGGCCUCUCCCCUUAGCAUCCUUCAAAGUUUUUCUGAUGAAAAUAUAUGAGUUAUUUCAACAGUGUUGGUUAAGUCAUAACAAUGAAGUACUGAGAAGGUUAUGGAUUCUACUAAGAAACAAAUAGAUUAAGAUUAAGCAUGAAUACCAAAGAGAAUUGAACUCGGCCAUGUUUUUUUGAACCAAAAUCCCAAGUAAUUCCAAAUGCCUUAGACAUCAAUUAAAGUUGUAUUGAGAUGGACAAGCUCUUUCUCUCCAAAGGGUAUUAGAAGUAAAUGCUUAUUUUCUUUCAAUAAAGACUUACUUAAUGAGCAUUGUGGAUGCCAUGUUUUCAGAUUUCCAGGUAAAGUCAUGACCCUACCUGUUUGGCCACACAGGUAAAUCGAGUGGAAAGGCCUUGGCCUUCUUGAUCAACCAACAUCUAAUGAGCAGUGGCUUAAUGCAGAGCAUUCGUGAGGCAGCAUAGUGACAGAAAGGGAAGAUGGGUGAGUUGUUGGAUGCCUUUUUCCUAGACCAGGGAUGGGGAAUAUAUAACAUCUGUGCCACCACUCUCUGAUGGUGGCAUUAUGAAUGAGUAGCACUCCUUUCCUCUGUGCCAGGAAUUGGUCUCAAUCCAUGUCAUCAGUGUUUCCAGGCAUCCAUUGCCCAUCCCUCAGAGUGAGAUGAAGUUCAUUUGUCAUCCCUGCCUUAGAGGAAUGAAUGAAUUAGGUGAGUAGAUUACAUCCAAAAUGGCUUUGAAAACACUGAGCUGAUUCAGCUCUGUUCCCUGGUUCCCAGAAAUACUUACUGAAAGUCUAUUGUGUGGAGGACAAUAUUAAGACUAGGGAUAUAGUCAUAAAUGAGCCAUGUUCCCUGACCUGGGAGAGCUUACAGCCUUGUGAAAAUGUUUACUGUAAUCAUUGUAACCAGUGUCCUCAAAGAUGCCUGCUUUUGUCAGGCAUCCUGGGGCUCUCUGGCCUGGCUUCCUCUUCAGUCCUGGUCCAAUCUGUUCACUGCUUCAUGAUCUACUAACAAUUAUAACGAACCAGUUUUUCUCUAAAUUUGAACAUCACAACCUAUGUUUCUGUUUUAAUGGUAUGCUUUUUUCCCCACUAUUUUUCAUAGUCUUCUCUGUACUUCAUUUUUCAAAAGAAAAAUUACAUGUGAUCUGCUGUAAAGGUAAUUACUAGGAACCACAGCAUAUGUGGCUAAGGGCUCAGCAGCUUGAUCCCAUGAGAAGCAGGAGCAAAAUCAGGGAAAUGAGUAUCGGGAGAGAGGCGAGCUGUACACGUGUCUGUACCUAUGCCUGCAAAACACUUCUAUAAAAAGUAUUACUAGAUGGUUAUUAAGACACUUGUCCCGACUUAAAGUCAGUUAACUUCACCUGUGUGAUAGCUAUUAGAGUGGUUUUCUGUCCUUAUGUUUCAUUUACAUAAGAAUAUUUCUUAUUUUUCAUUUUCUCAUGUUAAUUUAGGAACACGGUAUAAAAUACACACCAGUUGACCUAUGCUAACUUCUGCACUUGACAUAACCAUUUUUAUUCAUUCCUACAGGAGACAUUAAAUGUAAAAGAUGGUCAAUUUUGAGGAGCAAAAGGGUGCUGAGAUGACUUUGGUAGGAUUGGCUGGUGCUUUCUCAAAUGGAUGUCAGAGUUUAUUACUAGUAAAGAAAAAGAAAAUGUAAUUUGCAUUAUUGUGUCAUUUUUCUAAGAAAAAUCUUAAUAGGGGUUCUUUAGAUGUCUCUACAAUGUUUUCCUAUCUAGUGGUCAUUUUAGGAAAAUUGAUAAUCUGUAGAAUGAACAAUUACAUUUUGUUAUUACUGACACUUUGUUAAAAAGGUUGUAUUGUGUCUUCAAGUUGUGGCUUAAAGUGUAAACAUUAUGAUACUAUUCAUUCAAAUACAAUGAUGCCUAUGAUGCACUCAAAUAGCAUUCGUUCUGUGUUUAUAACUAGAACUAUAGAAGAAAAUCUCUUCAAAUAAAAUAGUU